rnacentral:lncRNA from 1 species
CAGCACUAUAUAUCUUCCGUUUCAAUUUCUCUCCCGAUCCACGCCCAGGUCGAUCAGAUAUGCACAAUUUUUAUUAGAUCUAUACUGAAUCAGAUCGAAUUAGGGUUUAAAAUUGUUUGAUUAAAUUCAGAUCUCAGUGUAUUUUUUUUUUCUUUUUCGCGUGUGUGGUUUAGGGAAUUGUAAAAUGUUGACGAAGUUUGAGACAAAGAGUAAUAGAGUGAAGGGAUUGAGUUUCCACAGUAAGCGGCCAUGGAUCUUGGCGAGUCUUCACAGCGGUGUGAUCCAGCUUUGGGAUUACCGAAUGGGCACUCUAAUUGAUCGCUUUGACGAGCAUGAUGGUCCUGUUCGAGGCGUCCAUUUUCACAAAUCUCAGCCACUCUUUGUCUCCGGAGGUUCAAUAUUUCAUCCCGUGAUCUCCGUAAUUUUUUUAAUAGAUUUCUGAGUUUUAGCUUUUAGCCUCUGGAUCUCCGGGCAUUGAACUUUCUUGAAUUAUUGGUGGAAUUAAUUCGCUUUGUUUAGUAGUUGCUGUUUGCAGUUUGUGGUCUUAUGAUCUGAUUUCUUUGGCAUAACUGGGAAUUGGUUUUAGCAAGAAAUGAUCUGCUAAGCACCGGUGACAUGGCUCAUACUAGUGGAUCUUAUAAUUUUUGGGGCCGAACUUAUUCACCAAUUAAAUUAAAUGAUGUGGAAUGUCACGUGCUUAGCUUAGUAGGUCAUUUCUCUGGUUUCCUAUUUGUUAUUCUAUAAUGGAAUUAUGAUCUUUGAAUUUGCAUAUUGUUUCCUGCAUUACUGAGACUUUGGUUUACAUAUGUGAUUUUGGUGGCAUAGCAUAAUCUAUGCUUGUUUCAUUGCUUUGGUGAUCUUUUGGAAGUUUAUACUGCUAAUUUUUAUUUUGAGAAAUGGAGUUUUACCCUUUAUUAAACUUUGGUUUACAUAUGUGAUUUUGGUGGCAUAGCAUAAUCUAUGCUUGUUUUAUUGCUUUGGUGAUCUUUUGGAAGUUUAUACUGCUAAUUUUUAUUUAGAGAAAUGGAGUUUUACCCUUUAUUAUUAUUAUUAGUAUUUUUUAUUUUUAUUUUGUUGUUAAAUUAGUAAAUCUGCUGAAGGAUGACGAAUGGUGUGACAUUUGAUUUGUUUAUUAUUAUUAUUAUUUUUAUUAUUAUUAUUAUUUUUUUAAUUUUCAUUUUGUUGUUAAAUUAGUAAAUCUGCUGAAGGAUGACGAAUGGUGUGACAUUUGAUUUGUAGUGCAGUAAUAUUUUCUGUUUUCUAUUAGCUAAUAGAAUGUUGCAUCUUUGAGACUUGAUUCUAACAUUAGGUAAUGGAUUCUAAUCUCCUAGUAUCUUAUAAAUAUUAGGCAACGUUCGAUUUUUAUUCCUUUGUUUCUUGUUAAUUUAUUGUGAGUUGAAGUGAUUGUUAAGGAAAAACUUUCUUUUCUUAUGAAGUUCCUAAAGAAUGACAUAUCAGUUAUCAAUUUUUUUAGUCUGAAUAGUCUAUGUAAUCUUGUCUUGUUUUAAGUAAUGAAUGAUUGUGUAAUUAACUUGGGUGUAUACAUCCUUUCUGGUUCCGACCAAUGACUAUCUUUGCAGGAGAUGAUUAUAAGAUCAAGGUUUGGAAUUACAAGCUGCACAGGUGUUUGUUUACACUUCUUGGACAUCUUGAUUAUAUCCGAACCGUUCAAUUUCACCAUGAGUAUCCCUGGAUCGUUAGUGCAAGUGAUGAUCAAACUAUCCGGGUAUGGAAUUGGCAAUCACGGACGUGUAUUUCUGUCUUAACGGGACACAACCAUUAUGUGAUGUGUGCCUCAUUUCAUCCCAAAGAAGACUUGGUGGUUUCAGCAUCUUUGGAUCAAACUGUUCGAGUUUGGGAUAUUGGUGCAUUAAGGAAGAAAACUGUUUCUCCAGCUGAUGACAUCCUGCGAUUGAGUCAGAUGAACUCUGAUUUUUUUGGCGGAGUAGAUGCUGUUGUGAAGUAUGUCUUGGAAGGCCAUGAUCGUGGGGUUAACUGGGCUUCAUUCCAUCCCACUCUCCCUUUGAUUGUUUCUGGAGCUGAUGAUCGCCAAGUUAAAAUUUGGCGCAUGAACGGUAUAUGCAGCUUAAUCUUUGA